rnacentral:rRNA from 1 species
AUUGAACGCCGGCGGCAUGCCUUACACAUGCAAGUCGAACGGCAGCAUAGGAGCUUGCUCCUGAUGGCGAGUGGCGAACGGGUGAGUAAUAUAUCGGAACGUGCCCUAGAGUGGGGGAUAACUAGUCGAAAGACUAGCUAAUACCGCAUACGAUCUACGGACGAAAGUGGGGGAUCGCAAGACCUCAUGCUCCUGGAGCGGCCGAUAUCUGGUUAGCUAGUUGGUGGGGUAAAAGCCUACCAAGGCAACGAUCAGUAGCUGGUCUGAGAGGACGACCAGCCACACUGGGACUGAGACACGGCCCAGACUCCUACGGGAGGCAGCAGUGGGGAAUUUUGGACAAUGGGGGCAACCCUGAUCCAGCAAUGCCGCGUGAGUGAAGAAGGCCUUCGGGUUGUAAAGCUCUUUGGUCAGGGAAGAAACGGUAGUAGCGAAUAACUAUUACUAAUGACGGUACCUGAAGAAUAAGCACCGGCUAACUACGUGCCAGCAGCCGCCGUAA